UACGGGGGGGAGCAAGCGUUGUUCGGAUUUACUGGGCGUAAAGGGCGCGUAGGCGGUCAGCACAAGUCAGUUGUGAAAUCUCCGGGCUUAACUCGGAAAGGUCAACUGAUACUGUGCGACUAGAGUGCGGAAGGGGCAACUGGAAUUCUUGGUGUAGCGGUGAAAUGCGUAGAUAUCAAGAGGAACACCUGCGGCGAAGGCGGGUUGCUGGGCCGACACUGACGCUGAGGCGCGAAAGCGUGGGUAGCAAACAGG
rnacentral:rRNA from 1 species